rnacentral:rRNA from 1 species
UACGGAGGGUGCAAGCGUUAAUCGGAAUUACUGGGCGUAAAGCGCGCGUAGGUGGUUUGAUAAGCGAGAUGUGAAAGCCCCGGGCUUAACCUGGGAACGGCAUUUCGAACUGUCAGGCUAGAGUAUGGUAGAGGAGUGUGGAAUUUCCUGUGUAGCGGUGAAAUGCGUAGAUAUAGGAAGGAACACCAGGCGAGGACGGCGACACUCGAGCCAAUACUGGACACUGAGGUG